UUGAUGGAGAUGGUCUAAACU
rnacentral:siRNA from 1 species